rnacentral:rRNA from 1 species
UACGUAGGGGGCAAGCGUUGUCCGGAAUCAUUGGGCGUAAAGCGCGCGUAGGCGGCCCGGUAAGUCCGUUGUGAAAGUCAAAGGCUCAACCUUUGAACGCUGAUGGAUACUGCCGGGCUAGAGUCCGGAAGAGGCGAGUGGAAUUCCUGGUGUAGCGGUGAAAUGCGCAGAUAUCAGGAGGAACACCAAUGGCGAAGGCAGCUCGCUGGGACGGUACUGACGCUGAGGCGCGAAAGCGUGGGGAGCAAACAGG